rnacentral:rRNA from 1 species
UACAGAGGGUGCGAGCGUUGUUCGGAAUUAUUGGGCGUAAAGGGCGCGUAGGCGGUGCGGUAAGUCACCUGUGAAAUCUCCUGGCUCAACUGGGAGCUUGCAGGCGAAACUGCCGUGCUGGAGUGUGGGAGAGGUGAGUGGAAUUCCCGGUGUAGCGGUGAAAUGCGUAGAUAUCGGGAGAAGCACCUGUGGCGAAAGCGGCUCACUGGACCACAACUGACGCUGAGGCGCGAAAGCUAGGGGAGCAAACAGG